rnacentral:rRNA from 1 species
GACGAACGCUGGCGGCGUGCUUAACACAUGCAAGUCGAACGAUGAAAGCGGAGCUUGCUCCGCUGGAUUAGUGGCGAACGGGUGAGUAACACGUGGGCAACCUGCCCCAGACUCUGGGAUAACUCCUCGAAAGAGGUGCUAAUACCGGAUACGAACUCCUUGGGCAUCCUUGGAGUUGGAAAGUUUUUCGGUCUGGGAUGGGCCCGCGGCCUAUGAGCUUGUUGGUGGGGUAGUGGCCCACCAAGGCGACGGCGGGUAGCCGGCCUGGGAGGGCGACCGGACACACUGGGACUGAGACACGGCCCAGACUCCUACGGGAGGCAGCAGUGGGGAAUAUUGCGAAAUGGGCGAAAGCCUGACGCAGCGACGCCGCGUGAGGGAUGACGGCCUUCGGGUUGUAAACCUCUUUCAGCAGGGAAGAAGCGAAAGUGACGGUACCUGCAGAAGAAGCACCGGCUAACUACGUGCCAGCAGCCGCCGUAA